rnacentral:lncRNA from 1 species
UCUUCUUUUUAAUAUGUCUAUUUUGAUCCAAUCCCGACAUUGGGAAGAUAGGGUCAAUCUUUACCUAACUUGGGUUGAGCUAUGCUUGUCAAAAAAGGACAUGUCAAAUCUUGUGUUUGGAUUGAAGUGUUGGAUAUCAGAUAAUCCAACCGCAACCUAAAUUUCUCUAACAAGGGGUUCAGCAAAUCUCAACUAGAAAAUAGCCCAAAUCAAAUGAUCCAACCAACUAAUGAAAUCUGAACACAAUAUGUACUUUCAUACCAAAGUGUCAAAUCAAACCCAGCCUAGACCUCACUGGAAUCAAUCCAUUUGACCCUAGUUGACUUGACGAGACUUAGUUGAAAAUUAUACCUGGGUAGAAAAAUUUAGAGGUCAAGUUUUGGGAUAUUGGUGUCCAAAUUAUUGUUGUUGCUGCCGCUGUUUUUGGUCUUUAUUUAUCUGUUUGUUUAUUU